CCUACGGGAGGCAGCAGUGAGGAAUAUUGGUCAAUGGGCGCGAGCCUGAACCAGCCAAGUAGCGUGAAGGAUGACUGCCCUACGGGUUGUAAACUUCUUUUGUCAGGGAGCAAAGGGCGCCACGUGUGGCGUUUUGCGAGUACCUGAAGAAAAAGCAUCGGCUAACUCCGUGCCAGCAGCCGCGGUAAUACGUAGGAUGCGAGCGUUAUCCGGAUUUAUUGGGUUUAAAGGGUGCGCAGGCGGAAUGUCAAGUCAGCGGUAAAAUUUCGGGGCUCAACCCCGUCGUGCCGUUGAAACUGGCGUUCUUGAGUGAGCGAGAAGUAUGCGGAAUGCGUGGUGUAGCGGUGAAAUGCAUAGAUAUCACGCAGAACUCCGAUUGCGAAGGCAGCAUACCGGCGCUCAACUGACGCUCAUGCACGAAAGCGUGGGUAUCGAACAGGAUUAGAUACCCUUGUAGUC
rnacentral:rRNA from 1 species